GGGUUGUGAGGUUAAGCGACUAAGCGUACACGGUGGAUGCCCUGGCAGUCAGAGGCGAUGAAGGACGUGCUAAUCUGCGAUAAGCGUCGGUAAGGUGAUAUGAACCGUUAUAACCGGCGAUUUCCGAAUGGGGAAACCCAGUGUGAUUCGUCACACUAUCAUUAACUGAAUCCAUAGGUUAAUGAGGCGAACCGGGGGAACUGAAACAUCUAAGUACCCCGAGGAAAAGAAAUCAACCGAGAUUCCCCCAGUAGCGGCGAGCGAACGGGGAGCAGCCCAGAGCCUGAAUCAGUGUGUGUGUUAGUGGAAGCGUCUGGAAAGGCGCGCGAUACAGGGUGACAGCCCCGUACACAAAAAUGCACAUGCUGUGAGCUCGAUGAGUAGGGCGGGACACGUGGUAUCCUGUCUGAAUAUGGGGGGACCAUCCUCCAAGGCUAAAUACUCCUGACUGACCGAUAGUGAACCAGUACCGUGAGGGAAAGGCGAAAAGAACCCCGGCGAGGGGAGUGAAAAAGAACCUGAAACCGUGUACGUACAAGCAGUGGGAGCACGCUUAGGCGUGUGACUGCGUACCUUUUGUAUAAUGGGUCAGCGACUUAUAUUCUGUAGCAAGGUUAACCGAAUAGGGGAGCCGAAGGGAAACCGAGUCUUAACUGGGCGUUAAGUUGCAGGGUAUAGACCCGAAACCCGGUGAUCUAGCCAUGGGCAGGUUGAAGGUUGGGUAACACUAACUGGAGGACCGAACCGACUAAUGUUGAAAAAUUAGCGGAUGACUUGUGGCUGGGGGUGAAAGGCCAAUCAAACCGGGAGAUAGCUGGUUCUCCCCGAAAGCUAUUUAGGUAGCGCCUCGUGAAUUCAUCUCCGGGGGUAGAGCACUGUUUCGGCAAGGGGGUCAUCCCGACUUACCAACCCGAUGCAAACUGCGAAUACCGGAGAAUGUUAUCACGGGAGACACACGGCGGGUGCUAACGUCCGUCGUGAAGAGGGAAACAACCCAGACCGCCAGCUAAGGUCCCAAAGUCAUGGUUAAGUGGGAAACGAUGUGGGAAGGCCCAGACAGCCAGGAUGUUGGCUUAGAAGCAGCCAUCAUUUAAAGAAAGCGUAAUAGCUCACUGGUCGAGUCGGCCUGCGCGGAAGAUGUAACGGGGCUAAACCAUGCACCGAAGCUGCGGCAGCGACGCUGAUGCGUUGUUGGGUAGGGGAGCGUUCUGUAAGCCUGCGAAGGUGUGCUGUGAGGCAUGCUGGAGGUAUCAGAAGUGCGAAUGCUGACAUAAGUAACGAUAAAGCGGGUGAAAAGCCCGCUCGCCGGAAGACCAAGGGUUCCUGUCCAACGUUAAUCGGGGCAGGGUGAGUCGACCCCUAAGGCGAGGCCGAAAGGCGUAGUCGAUGGGAAACAGGUUAAUAUUCCUGUACUUGGUGUUACUGCGAAGGGGGGACGGAGAAGGCUAUGUUGGCCGGGCGACGGUUGUCCCGGUUUAAGCGUGUAGGCUGGUUUUCCAGGCAAAUCCGGAAAAUCAAGGCUGAGGCGUGAUGACGAGGCACUACGGUGCUGAAGCAACAAAUGCCCUGCUUCCAGGAAAAGCCUCUAAGCAUCAGGUAACAUCAAAUCGUACCCCAAACCGACACAGGUGGUCAGGUAGAGAAUACCAAGGCGCUUGAGAGAACUCGGGUGAAGGAACUAGGCAAAAUGGUGCCGUAACUUCGGGAGAAGGCACGCUGAUAUGUAGGUGAAGCGACUUGCUCGUGGAGCUGAAAUCAGUCGAAGAUACCAGCUGGCUGCAACUGUUUAUUAAAAACACAGCACUGUGCAAACACGAAAGUGGACGUAUACGGUGUGACGCCUGCCCGGUGCCGGAAGGUUAAUUGAUGGGGUCAGCGCAAGCGAAGCUCUUGAUCGAAGCCCCGGUAAACGGCGGCCGUAACUAUAACGGUCCUAAGGUAGCGAAAUUCCUUGUCGGGUAAGUUCCGACCUGCACGAAUGGCGUAAUGAUGGCCAGGCUGUCUCCACCCGAGACUCAGUGAAAUUGAACUCGCUGUGAAGAUGCAGUGUACCCGCGGCAAGACGGAAAGACCCCGUGAACCUUUACUAUAGCUUGACACUGAACAUUGAGCCUUGAUGUGUAGGAUAGGUGGGAGGCUUUGAAGUGUGGACGCCAGUCUGCAUGGAGCCGACCUUGAAAUACCACCCUUUAAUGUUUGAUGUUCUAACGUUGACCCGUAAUCCGGGUUGCGGACAGUGUCUGGUGGGUAGUUUGACUGGGGCGGUCUCCUCCUAAAGAGUAACGGAGGAGCACGAAGGUUGGCUAAUCCUGGUCGGACAUCAGGAGGUUAGUGCAAUGGCAUAAGCCAGCUUGACUGCGAGCGUGACGGCGCGAGCAGGUGCGAAAGCAGGUCAUAGUGAUCCGGUGGUUCUGAAUGGAAGGGCCAUCGCUCAACGGAUAAAAGGUACUCCGGGGAUAACAGGCUGAUACCGCCCAAGAGUUCAUAUCGACGGCGGUGUUUGGCACCUCGAUGUCGGCUCAUCACAUCCUGGGGCUGAAGUAGGUCCCAAGGGUAUGGCUGUUCGCCAUUUAAAGUGGUACGCGAGCUGGGUUUAGAACGUCGUGAGACAGUUCGGUCCCUAUCUGCCGUGGGCGCUGGAGAACUGAGGGGGGCUGCUCCUAGUACGAGAGGACCGGAGUGGACGCAUCACUGGUGUUCGGGUUGUCAUGCCAAUGGCACUGCCCGGUAGCUAAAUGCGGAAGAGAUAAGUGCUGAAAGCAUCUAAGCACGAAACUUGCCCCGAGAUGAGUUCUCCCUGACCCUUUAAGGGUCCUGAAGGAACGUUGAAGACGACGACGUUGAUAGGCCGGGUGUGUAAGCGCAGCGAUGCGUUGAGCUAACCGGUACUAAUGAACCGUGAGGCUUAACCUUACAACGCCGAAGCUGUU
rnacentral:rRNA from 1 species